UAGAACAUAGUAUAGUGGAAGUACGGGGAGUUUUGAUCUCCCUGGGGCAGGUUCAAGUCCUGUUUUUCUAA
rnacentral:tRNA from 1 species